rnacentral:rRNA from 1 species
AACGAACGCUGGCGGCAGGCUUAACACAUGCAAGUCGAACGCACCUUCGGGUGAGUGGCAGACGGGUGAGUAACGCGUGGGAACCUUCCCUGUGGUACGGAAUAGCUCCGGGAAACUGGAAUUAAUGCCGUAUACGCCCUUUGGGGGAAAGAUUUAUCGGAGUUGGAUGAGCCCGCGUUUGAUUAGCUAGUUGGUGGGUAAAGGCCUACCAAGGCGACGAUCAAUAGCUGGUCUGAGAGGAUGAUCAGCCACACUGGGACUGAGACACGGCCCAGACUCCUACGGGGGGCAGCAGUGGGGAAUAUUGGACAAUGGGGGCAACCCUGAUCCAGCCAUGCCGCGUGCGUGAAGAAGGCUUUAGGGUUGUAAAGCGCUUUCACCGGUGACGAUGAUGACGGUAGCCGGAGAAGAAGCCCCGGCUAACUCCGUG